CAGGGUUCUCGUGAGGAUCCUGCGGCUUCUUGUUCUUUCUUUGGGCGUUUCCCGGGAAAUUUUAUCCGAAUUAAACGUUUACCAAGUCUUUUGCAUGAUAACAUGCAUGUUUUACAAGAUUCUGGACGUGAUUAUUGCUGUUAGAUUUGAAAGAUGCUUUUCCAGUACAUUGUUUAUAUGUGGAGGAAAAUUUAAACCAGCAUCUUCAAAAUGAAUCCUUUAAUGUAGUGCUUUACUGUGGGAUAUCAAUGCGAUGUAGAGGG
rnacentral:lncRNA from 1 species